UCCCAUCCAUCCCUGCCUGAGAUCAAGAGCCUCCUCCUCUGGGGGGCAGGGGUGGGGUGGGAUCCCUGGCUUUGAGCUCCGGAGCCAGUUUGGCAGCACAGAAGACAAACAAGGACUGUCAGGAUGUACAACGCUGGGAGAGUUCCCAGGAAGCCUUCUGUCAGUUCUGGGACAAUUGCUAUACAAUAGAGGGGGAACAUGUGCAUGCCACAGUGCAUGUGUGGAAGGCAGAGGACAAUUUUGGGAGUGUCAAUUAUCUUCUUCCAUCACGUGGAGCCUGGGUUUGCUGAGUACUCUUACCUGCUGAGCUAUCUCAUCAGCCCCUGGAGUGACUCCUAUCAGAUAUCCGUGUUUGUGUCUGUGAAUUCGGGUCUGGCCCCACGGAGACCAGGAGGGAGAGAGUCAAAUUCCCUGGAUCUGAAGUUACAAGUGCUUAGGAGCUGCUGGAUAUGGGAACUAGCGUCCAAACUCAGCUCCUCUGGAAGAGCCGAGGGCGGUCUUCACUACUGAGUCAUCUCUCCAGUGCAGGGGCCCAUGGGAAAGGGACACUAAACUUGCUCUGCUGCCUACCUGCGACCCCAGCUCCAAGUGGAGACAGCUGAGACAUGAAGACUGCUGGGUCUUAAAAUUUUUAAGUAAAUACAUUUUCAAAACCUCAAAUUUUGGGGCUGGUGAGAUGGCUCAGUAGGUAAGAGCACCCAACUGCUCUUCCGAAGGUCAGGAGUUCAAAUCCCAGCAACCACAUGGUGGCUCACAACCAUCUGUAACGAGAUCUGACUCCCUCUUCUGGAGUGUCUGAGGGCAGCUACAGUGUACUUACAUAUAAUAAAUAAAUCUUUAAAAAACAAAAACAAAAACAAAAACAAAAAACCUCAAAUUUCAACAAAACAACAACAACAACAGCAACAAAUCCCUCACUUUGCAUCCAGCAGAUGCAGUAGUCAACCUUCAGCAACGCUGGAUGUUAGGGCUGAUAUCUGCCUCUUAAAACUUCAGUGGGGCCGGGCGUGGUGGCGCACG